UAGUAGAUGUAAGAACUUCAAUUUGUCCAUUUGCAUCACUUAGUGAUGGAGAGAUGCCAAUAUUAUCAGAUAAGGAAGUUUCAGUGUUCCAAUCAUGCUGAGAUACAUGCUCCAAUGAUUUUAUCAAGCGGUGAACAACAGGCACUAGUUGUUCUUGUAUGUUGAUUGAGCUCAAACCUGAAACAGUUCCUCUUGAACCCUUUCUAGCUACCUUCUUAAACUCAUCCCUCACAUGCUCUAAAAACUUGAGUACAGCUGGGUUCCCUAGACCUUUGUCAACAAUUGAGAAAUAAGUAUAACCGUCUUCCAUCAAAAACCCAAAUGUCCUCUUACCAAUUGUCUCAAAAUACCACUUGUGAUAUAGAGGAAUCCACUCCAACGACAAUGCUGCCAAAUUCUCAAUCUCAUGAUCACCAUCACUAGACACAUACAAGGUCCGACCACCCCUAGAU
rnacentral:misc_RNA from 1 species